rnacentral:rRNA from 1 species
CUGGUUGAUCCUGCCAGUAGUCAUAUGCUUGUCUCAAAGAUUAAGCCAUGCAUGUCUCAGUGCACGCCUUUAUACGGCGAAACCGCGAAUGGCUCAUUAAAUCAGCUAUGGUUUAUUGGAUCGUACCCGUUAAAUGGAUAACUGUAAUAACUCUAGAGCUAAUACAUGCCAUUAUGCCCUGACCCUCACGGGAAUGGGUGCACUUAUUAGAUCAGAAGCCAACCGUGUAUUGCCGAAAGGUUGUGCAUGUUGACCUUCUGGUGACUCUGGAUAAUUGUUACAGAUCGCAGUCGGCCUUGAGUCGGCGACGGGUCCUUCAAAUGUCUGCCCUAUCAACUUUCGAUGGUAGGUGACCUGCCUACCAUGGUGAUAACGGGUAACGAGGAAUCAGGGUUCGAUUCCGGAGAGGGAGCCUGAGAAACGGCUACCACUUCCAAGGGAGGCAGCAGGCGCGCAAAUUACCCACUCCCAGUACGGGGAGGUGGUGACGAAAAAUACCGAUGCGGGACUCUUAACGAGGCUCCGUAAUCGGAAUGAGUGAACUAUAAAUCCUUUCACGAGGAUCAAUUGGAGGGCAAGUCUGGUGCCAGCAGCCGCGGUAACUCCAGCUCCAAUAGCGUAUAUUAAAGUUGCUGCAGUUAAAAAGCUCGUAGUUGGAUCUCGGUAUCGCUGUUGCUCGUCAGUCCUUGGGUGGGUGGCCUCGUGUGCGUGAGCUCGACUUGUGUCGCCGGGGCUGCCUUGCUCGAGUUGGCGGUGUGACGGUGUCGCCUUUCAGCCAUGUCUGUGGUGAAAUACCCGCAGGUGUAGGCGGGUGUCAGGCGGUGCCUUGCGAAAGUAGGGCUUGUCGGCUCGUCUGCAUGCCUUUGGAUGCCCUUUAAAAGGUGUCUGUGGGCGGAUGGCACGUUUACUUUGAACAAAUUUGAGUGCUCAAACCAGGCCGAUGUUGCCUGAAAAGUUUUGCAUGGAAUAAUGGAAUAGGGCUUCGGUUCUAUUUCGUUGGUUUUCGGAUCCGAAGUAAUGAUCAAAAGAGACAGGCGGGGG